rnacentral:lncRNA from 1 species
CUAAGUUGCCAUGUUCCUUUCCUUUCUCUGAGUUACAGGAGAGAAAGUUUGUAGUCUCAGCUUUCAUUCUGAGCUGGGGAUAGAGCUACCCUCUGAUGGCUAGGGGCCAGAGCAGAAUAUAGGUCUGUUAGGAAGAAGAGAUGAGUAGAUAUUGAAUACCUAAGCAGAAAAAAUUGUUACAUCUCUUGAUAUAUAUUUUUUCUUUCAUGGUGAAUUCUCUGUAUUUCCCUAUUUUCAGACUCCAGUUGAUGAAAACAUGCCAUUUUGCCCAAGUCAAAGGAUCACAGAUAUUCAUACAAACAUAAAUCUUCUAUUUUUGUUCAAUUAGCAGAACUAAAAUACAAGAGAAAAAUUAUUGGCUCUCUUUUGGAGAUAGGCAGCAAGAACAGCAACAGUAAUCCCUGAAAAUAACUGCCAGACUUAGAAAAAAAAGAAAUUACUUUUAUAUUUCGGAUAGACAUCAACAGAAUUCCAUGGAGCAGAGUGUGGAGCGAUCUGGGAAGUGGCUGAGCUUUCUCUCUGGAGCAAAACAUGAAGAUGAAGUGGAAGAAAAAAUGUGGCAGAGAAGGAAAAGUAAUCUCUACACCCAGCUUGGGGCUUGA